AUUUACGCAUGCAUAGUCCGUCAUCUGCUGCCAUGUGACAAGCAGUUCUGCAGGUGCACUUUAUGGCCCAUUCUCUACCAUGGUUGUUGCUCCUCCUUGGUCUUUUCAUAGGGUCAGGAACACUGGGAGAAGAUACAGUGGGGAAGAUAUCCUUGGGGAGUUGGCCACUUGGCCCCUGGAGGUCCCAGCAGAGCAAGAGGUAGAAAGUGUUACAUGGAGCUCUUGAGAGCGUGUUGCUGUUUUACAACAAGGAUGAACAGACAAACCAGUUCUGGUUUCUGAGACUCAGGGACCCUACAGUGGAUGACUGAACAUUCCCCACCACAGCUACUCUCUUCAGAUCAGCCCCCUGAGGCUGCAGGACUAUAAGCCUAUAAGCCUGGGUAACUCUGCAUACUUCCUCAAUCAUUAUCACCAGGGAUUUCACCCUGCUUGUCUAUGAGAUGCUGUAGGAGUUGAACAUCUUUGCCAGCUCCCAGAUCAUGAAGGAUGGGACCUGCUUCAUCACCCUGGCCUGCUCCCUGGAACAGGCUGGAGAGAAUGUGCAGAACAGCUGGGAGCCUCCUAGUCAUGGGGCAGUUGUGUCCCAUGGGGGGACCACUCUCAGUGUCCCCUGGAUAUCUGGGGAAAGUGAGAGCUAUCACUGCACUGCCAGGAAUCCCACCAGCCAGAGCUCCAGCUCUGUCCUUACCAGACCCCUUUGCUCAGCCUCCUUUGUACCCCACUCCCUGAGGAAAGAAUUUCUUCCUUUUUUGAUUCUGGGAGUUUUGGGGAUUGAAUAGAUUUCACCUGGACAUGGGGAGAAACCAAGAAGAGAAGUACGAGAUGGCGGCCAUCCUGUGAGACACAGAGUUAAAGAAGUUCGCAUGUGGAGUGCUGCCUGAGGCCAGCAUUUCCUGGUGUGAGAGAAGGACAUUGACACUGAUUAAGGCAUAAACCCUAUUUCAUUUACAAACUGAGUUCAAAAUUAUCAGGAAACUGCUAUGUGUCUUCUGUUUAAAAUAAUCUGUUUAUGUUUUAUUGAAGUGUGUUUUUAAGUGUUCAGAAAGAAAAAGGAGCUUAUUUAUUUAAGAAAAAUUGAAUGGAACAUAAAAACAUUGUUAUUGUCACACAUAUAUAUUAUUAAGUUUUUGUUAAUGUUUAAAUAACUAGAUUCAGCCCAGCUUCAGCUUGAAUGUCAUCUCCUUGGAGCAGCCUUUGGCCACUAUACUUAAGUAGAUCUUUCCUCUCAUUCAUAAUCAAUGUAUGUUUAAAAAAAUAAUCUGGAGUCUGUUAGGCUGAGACGGCCCUAGCAAUCUGGGAUUCUACACAAGCAAACAGAAAACCAACUCAGAAUGACUUAACCAGUCGGAAACCACCAGACUAACUCAGCUCCAGGAUUGUCCCUUCUGGAAGCUAUCCCAUGCGGCUGUCCCUGCCUUAUACAGGAUCUACCUUGGCAGAGGGAAAACAACUCUUGGUCCUUGUCAUGGUAAAUUUUAUGUGUCAACUUGACUGGGCUAAGGGAUGCUCAGAUACCAGAUAAAAUAUUGUUGCUGGGUGUUUUCAGAGGUCAUCAGCAUUGGAAUCAGUAGAUGAAGUAAAGAAGAUUGCCCUCACCAAUGAGGGCAGGCAUCACACAUCUAUCGAGGACCUGAAUAGAACAAAAACGCAGAGAGGAGGGAUAAGGAAGGACUUGUUAAAGAUUACAAAAUUAUAGCUAGAUAGGAGGAAUAAGAGGAAUAAGUUAUAGUGUUCUAUACCACUCUAGGAUGACUACAGUUAACAAUAAUGUACAGUUUUAGAUAACUAGAAGGAGGACAUUGAAUGUUCCCAACACAAAGAAAUGAUAAAUGUUUGAGAUGACAAGUAUGUUAAUUACCCUUAUGUUAUCACUACAAAUUAUAUGGCUCUAAACAUCACUAUGUACUCCAAGAAUAUGUACAAUUAUCAUUUGUCAAUUAAAAAUAUAUACAUACCAUGGAAUACUAUGCAGCUAUAAAAAAGAAUGGGAUCAUGUUUUCUGCGGGAACAUGGAUGGUGCUGGAGGCCAUUAUCCUUAGCAAACUAACACAGGAACAGAAAACCAAAUACUGCAUGUUCUCACUUAUAAGUGGAAGCUAAGUGAUAACUCAUGGACACAAAGAAGGGAACAACAGACACUGGGGCCUACUUGAGGGUGGAGGGUGGGAAGAGGGAGAGGAGCAGAAAAAAUAAUGAUUGAAUAGUAGGCUUAGUAUCCGGGAGAUGAAAUAAUCUACCUGACAAAUCCCCAUGACACGAGUUUACCUACAUAACACAUCUGCGUAUAUACCCCUGAACCUAAAAUAAAAAUUAAAAAAUAAAAUAAAAACAGAAAGGUGAAGGAUGGAAGGAAAUUAGUUUCUUUGCUUGAGUUGAGACAUCCAUCUUCUCCUCCCCUCAG
rnacentral:lncRNA from 1 species